UGCCUGACACACUACGUUGAAUUUUAUUU
rnacentral:piRNA from 1 species